rnacentral:rRNA from 1 species
ACGGAAGGCAGCAGUGGGGAAUAUUGCACAAUGGGCGAAAGCCUGAUGCAGCGACGCCGCGUGAGUGAAGAAGUAUUUCGGUAUGUAAAGCUCUAUCAGCAGGGAAGAAAAAUGACGGUACCUGACUAAGAAGCACCGGCUAAAUACGUGCCAGCAGCCGCGGUAAUACGUAUGGUGCAAGCGUUAUCCGGAUUUACUGGGUGUAAAGGGAGCGCAGGCGGUACGGCAAGUCUGAUGUGAAAGCCCGGGGCUCAACCCCGGUACUGCAUUGGAAACUGUCGAACUAGAGGGUCGGAGGGGUAAGCGGAAUUCCUAGUGUAGCGGUGAAAUGCGUAGAUAUUAGGAGGAACACCAGUGGCGAAGGCGGCUUACUGGACGAUAACUGACGCUGAGGCUCGAAAGCGUGGGGAGCAAACAGGAUUAGAUACCCUGGUA